GGCUUCGUGGCCAUGUGGUAAAGACACUUGCCUCUCACACUGGAGUCGCGGGUUCGAUUCCCGGUCGAGGAGCUA